rnacentral:RNase_P_RNA from 1 species
UGUAUCAACACGAUGAUUGCCUCACAUUCGUGUGGGGAGGAAAGUCCGGACACACCCAUAUUAAUUUAUGGAGCAGGGUAGCGGGUAACACCCGUCGUACAGUAAUGUAAGAGGUGCGAGCAGAGACGUCCCGAGCGAAAGCGGAGGAAUUCCUUUGGGAAUAGCCUCUUAGGAAACUAAGAGGGUGAAACGGCUAAAUCCUUACCUGUGUGCAAGACCGCGCCUCAUGGCCUCAAAAUCCCUUCGGGAUUUUGAGGCCAUGAGGAGAGUCGCAUGAGAUGUACAGUAAUGUACACCCUAGGUAGAUAAUCAUCCGGGCCUUGGCCCGACAGAAUCCGGCUUAUGUGUACAAAAA